rnacentral:rRNA from 1 species
GACGAACGCUGGCGGCGUGCUUAACACAUGCAAGUCGAACGCUGAAGCUCAGCUUUUGUUGGGUGGAUGAGUGGCGAACGGGUGAGUAACACGUGAGUAACCUGCCCCCUUCUUUGGGAUAACGCCCGGAAACGGGUGCUAAUACUGGAUAUUCACUGGUCUUCGCCUGGGGGUUGGUGGAAAGGGUUUUUCUGGUGGGGGAUGGGCUCGCGGCCUAUCAGCUUGUUGGUGGGGUGAUGGCCUACCAAUGCUUUGACGGGUAGCCGGCCUGAGAGGGUGACCGGUCACAUUGGGACUGAGAUACGGCCCAGGGUCCUACGGGAGGCAGCAGUGGGGAAUAUUGCACAAUGGGCGCAAGACUGAUGCAGCGACGGCGCGUGAGGGAUGGAGGCCGUCGGGUUGUGAACCUCUUUCGCUAAUGGUCAAGCCGUAACAAUGGUUGUGGUGAGGGUAGUGGGUAAAGAAGCGCCGGCUAACUACGUG